rnacentral:tRNA from 1 species
GUUAAUAUAGUUUAUAUAAAACACUGAUUUUGUAAAUCAAAAAAAUAAUUUAACU